rnacentral:rRNA from 1 species
AAGAGAGUGAAACAGUACGUGAAAUUGUUGAAAGGGAAGCGUUUGAAGUCAGUCGCAUUGGUCAGAACUCAGCCUGGCUUCUGCCUGGUGUAUUUUCUGGCAAAUGGGUCAGUGUCAAUUUUGAUCGAGAGAGAAAGACUUGAGGAAUGUGGCUGUCUUCGGGCAGUGUUAUAGCCUCUUGUUGUAUGUCUCGGUUGGGAUUGAGGAACGCAGCACGCCUUUUGGCCGGGGUUCGCGCCCUCGGUACGUGCUUAGGACACUGGCAUAAUGGCUUUAAGCGACCCGUCUUGAAACACGGANCAAGGAGUNNAACAUGUGCGCGAGUGUUUAGGUGUCAAACCUGGGCGCGUAAUGAAAGUGAAAGGUCGGGAUCAUGUACUUGUGCACCGACGCCCGGAGCAGACNUUCUGUGACGCAUCCGCGGUAGUUGCCCACUAGAAACUCUCACC